UACGUAGGGAGCGAGCGUUGUCCGGAAUUAUUGGGCGUAAAGAGCUCGUAGGCGGCUUGUCACGUCGGAUGUGAAAGCCCGGGGCUUAACUCCGGGUCUGCAUUCGAUACGGGCUGGCUAGAGUGUGGUAGGGGAGAUCGGAAUUCCUGGUGUAGCGGUGAAAUGCGCAGAUAUCAGGAGGAACACCGGUGGCGAAGGCGGAUCUCUGGGCCAUUACUGACGCUGAGGAGCGAAAGCGUGGGGAGCGAACAGG
rnacentral:rRNA from 1 species